rnacentral:rRNA from 1 species
AACGAACGCUGGCGGUGUGCCUAACACAUGCAAGUCGAGCGCGAACGGAGCAAUCCUAGUAGAGCGGCGCACGGGUGCGUAACACGUGGGUAAUCUGCCUGGGAGUCCGGAACAACCUGCCGAAAGGCAAGCUAAUGCCGGAUAAGCCCACAGGAUCUUCGGAUCUGGUGGGAAAAGAUGGCCUCUAUUUAUAAGCUAUCCCUUCCAGAUGAGCCCGCGGCCCUUCAGCUAGUUGGCGGGGUAAUGGCCCACCAAGGCAACGACGGGUAGCUGGUCGGAGAGGACGAUCAGCCGCACUGGAAAUAAGACACGGUCCAGACUCCUGCGGGAGGCAGCAGAGGGGAAUUUUGCGCAAUGGGCGAAAGCCUGACGUAGCAACGCCGUGUGUGUGAUGAAGGUUUUCGGAUCGUAAAGCACUUUCGACCGGGAAGAAACCGCAUUGGCUAACAUCCAAUGCUCUGACGGUACCGGGAGAAGAAGCACCGGCUAACUCUGUGCCAGCAGCCGCGGUAACAC